UGGCUCAGAUUGAACGCUGGCGGCAGGCUUAACACAUGCAAGUCGAGCGGAAACGAAAGUAGCUUGCUACUAGGCGUCGAGCGGCGGACGGGUGAGUAACGCGUAGGAAUCUGCCAGGUAGUGGGGGAUAGCCCAGAGAAAUUUGGAUUAAUACCGCAUACGCCCUAAGGGGGAAAGGAGGGGAUCUUAGGACCUUUCGCUAUUUGAGGAGCCUGCGUGAGAUUAGCUGGUUGGUAGGGUAAAGGCCUACCAAGGCGACGAUCUCUAGCUGGUCUGAGAGGAUGAUCAAGCCACACUGGGACUGAGACACGGCUCAGACUCCUACGGGAGGCAGCAGUGGGGAAUAUUGCACAAUGGGGGAAACCCUGAUGCAGCCAUGCCGCGUGUGUGAAGAAGGCUUUCGGGUUGUAAAGCACUUUCANCGAGGGGGAAAGGGUGCAAGUUAAUCCUUGUAUCUUGUGAC
rnacentral:rRNA from 1 species